UGGGCAACCUGCCCUCAGCUUUGGGAUAACUCCCGGAAACGGGUGCUAAUACCGAAUGGUGACAGUGCGCGGCAUCGCGUGUUGUUGAAAGUUUUUCGGCUGGGGAUGGGCCCGCGGCCUAUCAGCUUGUUGGUGAGGUAACGGCCCACCAAGGCGACGACGGGUAGCCGGCCUGAGAGAGCGACCGGCCACACUGGGACUGAGACACGGCCCAGACUCCUACGGGAG
rnacentral:rRNA from 1 species